rnacentral:tRNA from 1 species
UACAUUGAAGCCCGMUGGAUAGGGUGUAUAGUUGUUAACUAAAGUAAUAUGGGAUCAAAGCCCGUCGGUCUAG